rnacentral:rRNA from 1 species
GACGAACGCUGGCGGCGUGCUUAACACAUGCAAGUCGAACGGAAAGGCCCUGCUUUUGUGGGGUGCUCGAGUGGCGAACGGGUGAGUAACACGUGAGUAACCUGCCCUUUACUUUGGGAUAACUUCAGGAAACUGGGGCUAAUACCGGAUAGGAGCUCCUGCUGCAUGGUGGGGGUUGGAAAGUUUCGGCGGUUGGGGAUGGACUCGCGGCUUAUCAGCUUGUUGGUGGGGUAGUGGCUUACCAAGGCUUUGACGGGUAGCCGGCCUGAGAGGGUGACCGGCCACAUUGGGACUGAGAUACGGCCCAGACUCCUACGGGAGGCAGCAGUGGGGAAUAUUGCACAAUGGGCGGGAGCCUGAUGCAGCAACGCCGCGUGCGGGAUGACGGCCUUCGGGUUGUAAACCGCUUUCGCCUGUGACGAAGCGUGAGUGACGGUAAUGGGUAAAGAAGCACCGGCUAACUACGUG